rnacentral:rRNA from 1 species
CCUACGGGAGGCAGCAGUGGGGAAUCUUGCACAAUGCGCGAAAGCGUGAUGCAGCAACGCCGCGUGCGGGAAGAAGGCCUUAGGGUUGUAAACCGCUUUCAGUUGGGACGAAGCUUCAGUCGUUAAUAGCGGUUUGGAGUGACGGUACCUUCAGAAGAAGCGCCGGCUAACUACGUGCCAGCAGCCGCGGUAAUACGUAGGGCGCGAGCGUUGUCCGGAAUCAUUGGGCGUAAAGCGCGUGUAGGCGGCUGAGUAAGUCUGCUGUGAAAGUCCAGGGCUCAACCCUGGAAUGUCGGCGGAUACUGCUCAGCUGGAGUACGGGAGGGCGAGUGGAAUUCCUGGUGUAGCGGUGGAAUGCGCAGAUAUCAGGAGGAACACCUAUGGCGAAGGCAGCUCGCUGGAACGUUACUGACGCUGAGACGCGAAAGCGUGGGGAGCAAACAGGAUUAGAUACCCUGGUAGUCCACGCUGUAAACGAUGGAUACUAGGUGUGGGGGUGUCAACUCCUCCGUGCCGAAGCUAACGCAUAAGUNUCCGCGNGGNGCGCGCGAGCGAACGACGAAGAGUAGAGNGNGAGACGNGCGAGGCGACGACGAGGGAGAGG